UGCAGACACUGAACUUUCCUCAUAGAGAUUCAUUGAUUCUAUUCAUCUCUAUGAGGAGAUGCUGAUUGGCCAGGGCUGUGUUUGAAUCAUGCUGGCUCUGCCCCUGAUCUGCCUCUUUGUCAGUCUCAGCCAAUCAUAUGGGGUAGCACUGUGAUUGGAUCAGGCUACCACGUGUCAGCAGACUGCUUGAGUCUAACAGCAUGCAGAGUUACAGCUUCUGGCUUGAAUACAGUAAGAUUUUUACUAUAGUUAUCUAGGCAUGACGGGCCCAGGGGGGCUAGAUGGUGGUGUUAACACUAUAGGAUCAGGAAUACAUGUUUGUGUUCCUGACCCUAUAGUGAUCCUUUAAAAAUGUUUAUGUUGUAAUGCUAAACAAGAGUCUUGCUGCUCUAGCUACUGUUUCUUCAUUAGCCCAAACAACACAGAGGGGAAAAGCUAAAAAAAGAAACAUUACCUAGAGAAGCAAUAUGGAGCUGUGAGUGUUAGCUGACAACUUUAAGCCUGUUACAGUGCCCCUUGCUGGUUAAGAAUUGGAAUGGCUAGAAGGGAUUGUGUAACCUCUGCCUUAGGCUUACCUCCAGUGGGUGAUAAGGAACGCAGAUUUAGUAUUGGAUAGCUUAAAAAUGGUUUAAAGGGAUACUCCACUACCCAAACACAUAUUUAAAUCACUUUUUAGUAGACAUACCCAUAAUGAAACAGGCAUGUAUUUAAUUGUGCAUUUUUUUCAUUUAGGGUAUAUCUAGAAACAGCACUGUGGGGGUAUACCCUCGAGAAGAUGGAUUACUACCCCCUUGGAUGACCCUUCCCACUGAAUACAGCUCCAGAAUGAUUAUACCCUCCUGCACAAAGUACCGCUGUCUCAUCCAAACACAAGUCGAGACUUAGUGAAGGGUGAAGAUGAAC